rnacentral:rRNA from 1 species
CCUAACACAUGCAAGUCGAACGGUAACAGGAAGCAGCUUGCUGCUUCGCUGACGAGUGGCGGACGGGUGAGUAAUGUCUGGGAAGCUGCCUGAUGGAGGGGGAUAACUACUGGAAACGGUAGCUAAUACCGCAUAAUGUCGCAAGACCAAAGAGGGGGACCUUCGGGCCUCUUGCCAUCGGAUGUGCCCAGAUGGGAUUAGCUUGUUGGUGGGGUAACGGCUCACCAAGGCGACGAUCCCUAGCUGGUCUGAGAGGAUGACCAGCCACACUGGAACUGAGACACGGUCCAGACUCCUACGGGAGGCAGCAGUGGGGAAUAUUGCACAAUGGGCGCAAGCCUGAUGCAGCCAUGCCGCGUGUAUGAAGAAGGCCUUCGGGUUGUAAAUACUUUCAGCGGGGAGGAAGGGAGUAAAGUUAAUACCUUUGCUCAUUGACGUUACCCGCAGAAGAAGCACCGGCUAACUCCGUGCCAGC